GGGAAUGUAGCUCAGUGGUAGAGUGCUUGCCUUGCAUGCAUGAGGCCCUAGGUUCCAUUUCUC
rnacentral:tRNA from 1 species